rnacentral:misc_RNA from 1 species
UUUCCGUAGGUGAACCUGCGGAGGGAUCAUUACUGUAUAACUGAGCUCCGAGCCCUGUCGCUAACCCGAGAGGACGUGCACGCGCGAGUGCCCUCACACACAUCGAUCUCACCCCUAUGUCCACCCCCGCGUGGGUCCCCCAUUCCCUUGUUCGGAGGGGGUCUUACGAUUUCACACAAAAUUUGUCUGCUGUGUAGAGUGUAUUUGUUGAUUUCACGAUCACGGAAUCGAUCCAACUUGAAACAACGGAUCCCUUGUCUCUCGCAGCGUUGAAGAACC